UACACGCUGUGACUAGCAUAUCAAUAAGCGGAGGAAAAGAAACUAACAAGGAUUCCCCUAGUAACGGCGAGUGAAGCGGGAAGAGCUCAAAUUUGAAAUCCUAAGGGUUUCCCUUUACGAAUUGUAGUUUAAAGAAGUGUUUUCUGUUGAGGUUUUGGUAAAAGGUUCUUUGGAAUAGGACAUCAUAGAGGGUGAGAAUCCCGUAUUUGACCUUUACUUUCAACUUUGUGAUACACUUUCAAAGAGUCGGAUUGUUUGGGAAUGCAGUCCAAAAUGGGUGGUAAAUUUCAUCUAAAGCUAAAUAUUGGCGAGAGACCGAUAGCGAACAAGUACCGUGAGGGAAAGAUGAAAAGAACUUUGAAAAGAGAGUUAAACAGUACGUGAAAUUGUCAAAAGGGAAGCGUUUGACACCAGUGUUGUUUUUCUGAAAAUCAAUUAAAGAACUGUUUAUGCUAAGCUGUUUAGACUUUAUCAGCUAUCUGUUUAGUUUUGAGCUUUUCUUUAAUGCACUUUUCAGUUAACAAGUCAACAUCAAUUUCUUUUGCUGUAAAAAAGCUUGAGGAAGGUGGCUUGAGAUUCGUCUUAAGUGUUUAUAGCCUCUUGCCUAUGCAGUCGGAGAGAUUGAGGUCUGCAGCGUUAGAUCCUUCGGGGCUAAAUGCAUUUGUGCUAAGUUAUAGCAUUUUAUAGACAACUUGUUGACUAUGAUUUGUCUUGUAGCUUACUCGCUUAUGUUAUUUUACCUACGCUUAGGAUGUUGACUGAUAUGUAGUCGUA
rnacentral:rRNA from 1 species